rnacentral:lncRNA from 1 species
UGAAAACAUUUGCUACUUCUCUUUAAGGAAGGAUGCAUAUUUUCCAUAUUUAAUGUAUCCUUCAAGCUCCCAUUCAGAUUAAACAAGAUUCUCCCUAUCAUCUUUAGUUUAUAGAAUGUUGAAUGGGACAGCAUAGCCUGCAGUGAGAAAGUUUCAGCCAAUGUGGAGUAUGGUAUUAAAAUUCCCUCAUUAUUUCUGUGGACUAUAUAUAUCAGUAUUCUCAAUUGUUAUUUUUUUCAGAAAUACUUGUUAUAAUUAUUCACCCCAUAUAACUUUAUUGGAAAAUAUAAACAACCAUAUGUGAGAUAUUAUAUAAGUUUUGUAAUCAUUCACCAUUAACUCUGGGAUCAGACUUCCUAGAAUUUGAAGAAGAAAUUAAUGAAAUCAAACGUAACUUAAUAGUAGUAGUAAUAGAAAUUUUAAAAUCCUCUUAAAGUUUCUGCAAAGUGUGAUCCCUGCCCCCUUACACUCAAGUUAAAGGAGAAUGUUAACAGCCUGUCCUGUCUCUGUGGACAGUGGACCUUAUCUAUACUCCCCAACUCCAAAUUACUCAAGUUUAUUACAGGCCAGCAAGCUCCUGCACAGCUGCAGUCACAAGACCAAUAAGUUUAGGUUGCAAGACAUGUUUUUCUCAAGAUGUAAGAAAUGUUGUAAUGCUUGAUUAACUGCCUUUGUUUCUCGCUUCUGUAACUUGCUUCCCACCUCAUGUAGUUCCUGCCUUAAAAUGUUUAAAAGUAGGAAAAGCCCUUAGUUUGGGGCUCAUACUUUCUGGACAUAUGUCCGGCUGGGCCGGUGAUCACCUUAAUAGACUCUCCUGAACCUUUUUCAGUCUCUCCAGUCUUUGAUUGUCUUGUAACAUUUCUGGGGGCUCAUCCGGGAUUGGAGAGGGAACAUUUUCUGUCUCCUUUGCCUGUGGGCUACAGCCCCAGGACAUGGGAGAUCUGGGGUCCUUGGCACCACCAGGAGAGUUUCAGCCCAGAAGGAGAACUGCCCUCCCGCGUUCUGGGGCCUUCCCCCGACAGCACAAAUGGAACCAGUGGAAGGGGUUGCAGGAUGGUCACGGGAGCAGCGCACAGCCAUCUGAACCACGGCCUCCCAAAAUCAAAUUUCAUCUUCAAAAUAGCCUUUUCUGAC